AACGAACGCUGGCGGCAUGCCUAACACAUGCGAGUCGAACGAGACCUUCGGGUCUAGUGGCGCACGGGUGCGUAACGCGUUGGAACCUUCCCUUAGGGUCGGAAUAACUCCCCGAAAGGGGUGCUAAUACCGGAUAAUGUCUUCGGACCAAAGAUUGAUCGCCUUUGGAUGGGCCCGCGUUGGAUUAGCUAGUUGGUAGGGUAAAAGCCUACCAAGGCGACGAUCCAUAGCUGGUCUGAGAGGAUGAUCAGCCACACUGGGACUGAGACACGGCCCAGACUCCUACGGGAGGCAGCAGUGGGGAAUAUCGGAAAAUGGGCGAAAGCCUGAUCCAGCAAUGCCGCGUGAGUGAUGAAGGCCUUAGGGUUGUAAAGCUUUUCUACCAGGGAUGAUAAUGACAGUACCGGGAGAAUAAGCGCCGGCUAACUCCGUG
rnacentral:rRNA from 1 species